rnacentral:rRNA from 1 species
ACUCCUACGGGAGGCAGCAGUGGGGAAUAUUGCACAAUGGGGGAAACCCUGAUGCAGCCAUGCCGCGUGUGUGAAGAAGGCCUUCGGGUUGUAAAGCACUUUCAGUAGGGAGGAAGGUAGUGUAGUUAACACCUGCAUUAUUUGACGUUACCUACAGAAGAAGCACCGGCUAACUCCGUGCCAGCAGCCGCGGUAAUACGGAGGGUGCGAGCGUUAAUCGGAAUUACUGGGCGUAAAGCGCAUGCAGGCGGCCUGUUAAGUCAGAUGUGAAAGCCCGGGGCUCAACCUCGGAAUUGCAUUUGAAACUGGCAGACUAGAGUACUGUAGAGGGGGGUAGAAUUUCAGGUGUAGCGGUGAAAUGCGUAGAGAUCUGAAGGAAUACCGGUGGCGAAGGCGGCCCCCUGGACAGAUACUGACACUCAGAUGCGAAAGCGUGGGGAGCAAACAGGAUUAGAUACCCUGGUAGGAUAGCG